rnacentral:piRNA from 1 species
GCCGGGUGGUGGUGGCGCAUGCCUUU